rnacentral:rRNA from 1 species
AUUGAACGCUGGCGGAAUGCUUUACACAUGCAAGUCGAACGGUAGAGGGGGCAACCCCUCGAGAGUGGCGAACGGGUGAGUAAUAUAUCGGAACGUGCCCAGUCGUGGGGGAUAACGUAGCGAAAGUUACGCUAAUACCGCAUACGAUCUAAGGAUGAAAGCGGGGGAUCGCAAGACCUCGCGCGAUUGGAGCGGCCGAUAUCAGAUUAGGGAGUUGGUGGGGUAAAGGCUCACCAAGCCAACGAUCUGUAGCUGGGCUGAGAGGACGACCAGCCACACUGGAACUGAGACACGGUCCAGACUCCUACGGGAGGCAGCAGUGGGGAAUUUUGGACAAUGGCCGCAAGUCCGAUCCAGCCAUUCCGCGUGCAGGAUGAAGGCCCUCGGGUUGUAAACUGCUUUUGUACGGAACGAAAAGGUCUCUCUUAAUACGGGGGACUCAUGACGGUACCGUAAGAAUAAGCACCGGCUAACUACGUGCCAGCCGCCGCCGUAA